rnacentral:rRNA from 1 species
GGGGUGCAGCAGGCGCGAAAACUCUACAAUGCAGGAGACUGCGAUAGGGGGACAUCGAGUGGCAUCCNCCUUGGGUGCCUGUCCAACCGUCUAAAAAACGGUUGUUAGCAAGGGCCGGGUAAGACCGGUGCCAGCCGCCGCGGUAAUACCGGCNGCUCGAGUGGUGGCCGAUAUUAUUGAGUCUAAAGGGUCCGUAGCCGGCUUUGCAAGUCCUCCGGGAAAUCCAGCGGCUUAACCGUUGGGCUUUCGUGGGAUACUACAUGGCUUGGGACUGGGAGAGGUAGGAGGUACUCGGGGGGUAGGGGUGAAAUCCUGUAAUCCUCCGGGGACCACCGGUGGCGAAGGCGUCCUACCAGAACAGGUCCGACGGUGAGGGACGAAAGCUAGGGGCACGAACCGGAUUAGAUACCCGGGUAGUCCUAGCCGUAAACGAUGCCCGCUAGGUGUCAACGACAGUCGUGAAUUGUCNGUGGUGCCGUAGGGAAGCCGCGAAGCGGG